GUCCCUGUAGUGCAAUGGAUAGCGCGUUGGACUUCUAAUCCAAAGGUUGUGGGUUCGAAUCCCACCUGGGAUG
rnacentral:tRNA from 1 species